CCUACGGGGCGCAGCAGUGAGGAAUAUUGGUCAAUGGGCGAGAGCCUGAACCAGCCAAGUCGCGUGAAGGAUGACGGCCCUACGGGUUGUAAACUUCUUUUGUCAGGGAGCAAUUGGGUCCACGCGUGGGCUUAGCGAGAGUACCUGAAGAAAAAGCAUCGGCUAACUCCGUGCCAGCAGCCGCGGUAAUACGGAGGAUGCGAGCGUUAUCCGGAUUUAUUGGGUUUAAAGGGUGCGUAGGCGGAAUAUCAAGUCAGCGGUAAAAAUUCGGGGCUCAACCCCGUCGUGCCGUUGAAACUGAUGUUCUGGAGUGGGCGAGAAGUAUGCGGAAUGCGUGGUGUAGCGGUGAAAUGCAGAGAUAUCACGCAGAACUCCGAUUGCGAAGGCAGCAUACCGGCGCUCAACUGACGCUCAUGCACGAAAGUGUGGGUAUCGAACAGGAUUAGAUACCCUGGUAGUC
rnacentral:rRNA from 1 species